AACGAACGCUGGCGGCAUGCCUAACACAUGCAAGUCGAACGAGACCUUCGGGUCUAGUGGCGCACGGGUGCGUAACGCGUGGGAACCUGCCCUUAGGUUCGGAAUAACUCCCCGAAAGGGGUGCUAAUACCGGAUAAUGUCUUAGGACCAAAGAUUUAUCGCCUUUGGAUGGGCCCGCGUUGGAUUAGCUAGUUGGUAGGGUAAAAGCCUACCAAGGCGACGAUCCAUAGCUGGUCUGAGAGGAUGAUCAGCCACACUGGGACUGAGACACGGCCCAGACUCCUACGGGAGGCAGCAGUGGGGAAUAUUGGACAAUGGGCGAAAGCAUGAUCCAGCAAUGCCGCGUAAGUGAUGAAGGCCUUAGGGUUGUAAAGCUCUUUUACCCGGGAUGAUAAUGACAGUACCGGGAGAAUAAGCUCCGGCUAACUCCGUG
rnacentral:rRNA from 1 species